rnacentral:hammerhead_ribozyme from 1 species
GUACUGCUGAAGAGUCCCAAAAAACUAGAACGAAACAGCUGUCCAGUAC